GUUUGGUGAACUCUCAUAAUAUAUAUAUAUACAUACAUAUAUAGUUGGUAAGUAAGACACUGAUCUAUGGUAUCAUAGGGUUUUUAUUGCUGCAAAGAGACACCAUGACCAAGGCAACUCUUAUAAAGAACAGCAUAAAGGACAACAUUUAAUUGGGGCUGACUUACAGAUUCAGAGGCUGAGUCCAUUAUCAUCAAGGCAGGAAGCAUGCAGUAUCUAGGCAGACAUGGGGAUGUAACUGCCAAGAGUUCUACAUCUUGAUCUGAAAUCAAGCAGGAGAAGAAUGUCUCCCAAGUAUCUAAGAAGAGGGUAUCAAAGUCCAUCAACACAGUGACACACUUCUUCAAACAAGGCCACAAUUCCUAAUAGUGCUACUCCCUGGGCCAAACAUAUUCAAUGGAUACAACAAAGUGUCAUUGGGAUUAUUUUAUUGUUAUAUUCUUUUAGCACAUUGGUUCUCAACCUUCCUAAUGACACAACUCUUUAAUACCAUUCUUCAUGUUAUGAUGAUUCCUAACCAUAAAUUUAUUGUCAUUGCUACUUUAUAACUAAUUUUGCUAUUGUUAUGUAAAUAUCUUAUAUAUAAGGCUUCUGAUAUGCAACACAUAUGAAAGGGUCAUUAAGCCAACAAAGUUAAGGGUAAUUGUUUUAUAGUCUCCAGUUCUUGGCCAUCCACCCAGGCAGUGUAGGGUAUGGGUUCCUUAUGCAUGCUUCUGUGCUGAAGCAGGAGAAAAUCUCAUGGAGUGGGCCAUUUAUCAGUCAGAUAUGGCUUGGUCAACCCCACAAGCUUUAUGCUAUGAUUGCACUAACAUUUCUUGGAAGCAGGUUAGCAUUGCAGAUCAAAGCAUCUGUAAUUGGGUUAGUAUUUCCAAAGUGCUUUUCAAUAUUAUGAACACUAGUCAGUACGGGUGAAGUUAUUAGGCAGAGACUAUCUUGAUUUCACCAUAUUCAGUUAGUUCUAUAGUUAUUGUCUUUAGCAAUAAAUCCUUAUCAUCAGUUUGUAGAGAGCAAUAGCCUGGGUUGUUUGGGGGUCUCUAUCAAGUCUUUUUGGCUAACAACUCUAUUAGAUGUAACCUAGUCCUGAAACUGGAAACUUCAUGUCUUUACAAGCAUUGUCCAGUCAGAAACCGGUCUCCCCUGCUACUUAGCAAUACCAUUUAGAUCACCUUUUUGAAUGCAUAUAUUCUAGGAAGUUUCUACUGUAUUAGGUUUCCCCUGAGGAGAGGUAGACACAAGCCAAUACCCCUAAUCCAGGAGCCAUCUCCAAUGAAUAACUACUCAUAUAUGAAAAAAAAAAAAAUGGUUUUCUCCAAUGCAGUAUCACUGGGUAUACAAUGCAAGCCACUCUCUCUUUUUUUUUUAAUAUUUUUUAUUACAUAUUUUCCUCAAUUACAUUUCCAAUGCUAUCCCAAAAGUCCCCCAUACCCUCCCCCCAAUUCCCUACCCACCCAUUCCCAUUUUUUUGGCCCUGGCGUUCCCCUGUACUGGGGCAUAUACAAUUUGCGUGUCCAAUGGGCCUCUCUUUCCAGUGAUGUCCGACUAGGCCAUCUUUUGAUACAUAUGCAGCUAGAGUCAAGAGCUCCGGGGUACUGGUUAGUUCAUAAUGUUGUUCCACCUAUAGGGUUGCAGAUCCCUUUAGCUCCUUGGGUGCUUUCUCUAGCUCCUCCAUUGGGAGCCCUGUGAUCCAUCCAAUAGCUGACUGUGAGCAUCCACUUCUGUGUUUGCUAGGCGCCGGCCUAGUCUCAUAAGAGACAGCUACAUCUGGGUAAGGCCAGAUCUCUCACCCAGCAGUAGAUGGCCAACACAAAACCAGCUUGAUGGCAUGUUUGCAGGCUUUUGUUUUUGUUUGUUUGUUUGUUUGUUUGUUUGUUUGUUUUUGACUUGUAGGUCAGUUGUAUAUAUACUACAGUUUCCAGGGUUUUUUGCUAUUAUCAGAUUUCUGUAUGAGAGAAUGUGGGUCUCUCUACCUCAAUGUGUUCCUUAAAGUUUUUCUUUGGAUUAUUUUCUGCUUUUUUUUUAUUUUGUCAAAUUUUAUUUAUUAUUAUUAUUUUACAUGUCUGUUUGCAUAAUAAUAAGGCAGAGAAUAAAAGUGUGAGUUUGGUUGGAUGGGAAAUCAGAGAAAAUCUGUGAGAAGUUGGAUGAGGGUAAAACAUAGAAUAUACUUUUAAAAAAUAUAAUUUUUAAUUUAAAAAGUUUCAUUUAGCAAACAUCUGUCAGUACGGAAAAGUAGAGAUGUUUUAACAAUUGUAAUUGAGAUUUUUUAAUAUUGUCUUUCCUAUAAUUGUUAAAACAAGAAUACUCCAUGCAAGCGAAGAUGAAGAAACUUUGGAAAAAAUAUUGGAACCAUCUCAAAGAAACACUGUAUUUGAGACAGUAACUAUAGUGUCAAUAUAUUUUGAAGGGCAGGAGUCCUGAGGAAUACCUUUGCUGGACCCAGCAGAAUUGGAGCAGUAUCACAAGUAGCUAUUUGGUAAACCUUGAUAAUUUGAAAACUAAGCCAUAAAUUUCCAAGUCCAUUGUCAACGAUCAUUGUAGAAGAGAGGGCAGAAGGACUAUAAAAGCUAGAGGAAGAGGGAUUUUGCUGAUAGAGUAUGUCUCCUAAAAAUGUCAGAAAAACUACACCAAUGAAGUCUUAACAACCUGCCUGUGUAAACAGACCCGAACAAGGAUGAACAUGCUAAUGUGAAUGAAGGAGGAAAUCUCAGGAGACCUCAACCCAAACAAAGCAUGAGGGAGAAAUAGUUUUCCCUUUGG
rnacentral:lncRNA from 1 species